UACAGAGGGUGCAAACGUUGUUCGGAAUUACUGGGCGUAAAGCGCGUGUAGGCGGUGCGGUAAGUCUGAUGUGAAAGCCCUGGGCUCAACCUGGGAAUGGCAUUGGAUACUGGCGAUCUAGAGUGCGGUAGAGGGCAGUGGAAUUCCCGGUGUAGCAGUGAAAUGCGUAGAGAUCGGGAGGAACAUCUGUGGCGAAGGCGACUGCCUGGACCAGCACUGACACUGAGGCACGAAAGCGUGGGGAGCAAACAGG
rnacentral:rRNA from 1 species